rnacentral:rRNA from 1 species
AGAGUUUGAUCCUGGCUCAGGAUGAACGCUAGCUACAGGCCUAACACAUGCAAGUCGAGGGGCAGCGGGAAUUAAGCUUGCUUAGUUUGCCGGCGACCGGCGCACGGGUGCGUAACGCGUAUCGAACCUGCCUCAUACUGGGGGAUAGCCUUGCGAAAGCAAGAUUAAUACCCCAUGGUUCCAAGUCACCGCAUGGUGGUUUGUAUAAAGAUUUAUCGGUAUGAGAUGGCGAUGCGUCCCAUUAGCUAGUUGGCGGGGUAACGGCCCACCAAGGCGACGAUGGGUAGGGGUUCUGAGAGGAAGGUCCCCCACAUUGGAACUGAGACACGGUCCAAACUCCUACGGGAGGCAGCAGUGAGGAAUAUUGGUCAAUGGACGAGAGUCUGAACCAGCCAAGUAGCGUGAAGGAUGACUGCCCUAUGGGUUGUAAACUUCUUUUAUACGGGAAUAAAGUGAGGCACGUGUGCCUUUUUGUAUGUACCGUAUGAAUAAGGAUCGGCUAACUCCGUGCCAGCAGCCGCGGUAAUACGGAGGAUCCGAGCGUUAUCCGGAUUUAUUGGGUUUAAAGGGAGCGUAGGCGGACGCUUAAGUCAGUUGUGAAAGUUUGCGGCUCAACCGUAAAAUUGCAGUUGAUACUGGGUGUCUUGAGUACAGUAGAGGCAGGCGGAAUUCGUGGUGUAGCGGUGAAAUGCUUAGAUAUCACGAAGAACUCCGAUUGCGAAGGCAGCUUACUGGACUGUAACUGACGCUGAUGCUCGAAAGUGUGGGUAUCAAACAGGAUUAGAUACCCUGGUAGUCCACACAGUAAACGAUGAAUACUCGCUGUUUGCGAUAUACGGCAAGCGGCCAAGCGAAAGCAUUAAGUAUUCCACCUGGGGAGUACGCCGGCAACGGUGAAACUCAAAGGAAUUGACGGGGGCCCGCACAAGCGGAGGAACAUGUGGUUUAAUUCGAUGAUACGCGAGGAACCUUACCCGGGCUUAAAUUGCAUCUGAAUAAUUUGGAAACAGAUUAGCCGUAAGGCAGAUGUGAAGGUGCUGCAUGGUUGUCGUCAGCUCGUGCCGUGAGGUGUCGGCUUAAGUGCCAU